rnacentral:rRNA from 1 species
GACGAACGCUGGCGGCGUGCCUAAUACAUGCAAGUCGAACGAGAGCGACCGGUGCUUGCACUGGUCAAUCUAGUGGCGAACGGGUGAGUAACACGUGGGUAACCUGCCCAUCAGAGGGGGAUAACAUCCGGAAACGGAUGCUAAAACCGCAUAGGUCUUCGAGCCGCAUGGCUUGAAGAGGAAAAGAGGCGCAAGCUUCUGCUGAUGGAUGGACCCGCGGUGCAUUAGCUAGUUGGUGAGGUAACGGCUCACCAAGGCCGUGAUGCAUAGCCGACCUGAGAGGGUGAUCGGCCACAUUGGGACUGAGACACGGCCCAGACUCCUACGGGAGGCAGCAGUAGGGAAUCUUCCGCAAUGGACGCAAGUCUGACGGAGCAACGCCGCGUGAGUGAAGAAGGUUUUCGGAUCGUAAAACUCUGUUGUUAGGGAAGAACAAGUGCUAGAGUAACUGUUAGCGCCUUGACGGUAUCUAACCAGAAAGCCACGGCUAACUACGUG